GACGAACGCUGGCGGCGUGCUUAACACAUGCAAGUCGAGCGGAGCGGCGAACGGGUGAGUAACGCGUGAGUAACUGCCCCCCUCUCUGGGAUAACAGUUGGAAACGGCUGCCAAUACCGGAUAGUGGGGGAUGACUCGCGGCCUAUCAGCUUGUGGGUGGGGUAGUGGCCCAACAUGGCGACGACGGGUAGCCGGCCUGAGAGGGCGACCGGCCACCAUGGGCUGAGGGACGGCCCAAUGUCCAACGGGAGGCAGCAGUGGGGAAUAUUGCACAGUGGGGGAAACCGUAUUGCGGCAACGCCGGGGGCGGGAUGACGGCCUACGGGUUGUAAACCGCUUUCAGCCAUGACGCGGUAGUGGCAGAAGAAGCACCGGCUAACUACGUGCCAGCAGCCGCGGUAAUAC
rnacentral:rRNA from 1 species